GCAAGGUAAAGGAAAGCAUACAUUUAUACUGUUAUUCACAAAGGACGUCCAUAAUUAAAAAAAAUCAAAACUUCUGGGUUUAACGCCCAGGCUCAUUCGCUUGGGCCCAGACUUGCUCAGGUGAUUCCCACAUUCCUUGUUGCAAGUCUGGCCCAACUUGCGCUACGUUAUGUAGUAAUAGGUUGUGUUUAUUACAAAAAAUUUUUACUGUUGUGAACCUAACUAAUAAUCAAACUCAAUAAAUUUUGAAACCAAAAAAAUUUUCUAACAGUGUAUUUUUACUGUCAAAGGUCCAUGAAUUUAAAAUAUAUUCCUAAGUAUAACUAAGCAUCUAAAGAAGAAAAGAAAAGGAAAAGUUUUAAAGUAAAGAACAAAAUUCUUCCUAGCUCCAAGCCUUUCUACAGCCACCAAAUCCUUCAAACCAGCUUCAACUUGCAAGAAAUCAGCUAUAGAGUUGUUUCUCACAAGUCAGCAUUUCAAAAUCCAGCCCUGAGAUUGCUUGGCCUUAAUUGCCACCCACAUAUAAAAACAGCAAAGAUAAAGUGCAGGUUUCAGCAUUCAUUGAGAUUCAUUGACUAGUGUAUCUUUGAUUUAAAUGGUAAAACAAUCAGAAAGAGGGAAAUGAGACCACUUCAACAAUUGAAGAUCCAUGUUCAAACAGUCAAAUCCACUACAUUCAUACCAAAAUAGUCGAGUAUCACAUGGAAGCUCAUUCAUUAUAUAUAUUUUUGCAAACUUACUGAUGCUAUAUUACCUCAAAAACAAAGAGUACGUGAGAGAAGAGAAACAAACUUAGUUAUAUGUUAAAUGAAUCAAGAAGAAAACAGAUAAGGUCAGCAUGGUUUGCUUAGGAUGAAUAAUCAUGCUUUAAAGAAGGUAGACAGUGAGAUAGUUCACACAAAUGCCAUUCUUAGAACCUUAGAUAAAAUUUUAAAGCAAAAAUGGGUAUUAAGAUCAGAUUUGAACAAGAGAAUUCAUUCAAUAUAGGGUGUAAUUACAUACCUUAUAGUGAUCCAAAAACAACAACAAAUGGACCAAGAAAAGGUCAAUAAAUAGAAGUGAUUUGGAGCUUAACCCAACAACAACCAGACAACAACAGAAACUCAAAAAUACCAACCAGAAAUUAGCAAAACCCCACAAGUUUUACCCAGCAAACCAACAACUAAAGAAACCAAUUUUUUUCCAGAAAAAUCCACAACUAAAAGAAACCAGUUUUUUAGAGUGUUUUUGUAUCCAUCUUGGUAUUUUCAGAAUCAGUAUGUAUUUUUCAAAGCAGUAUAUCUUUGUGUUUUCAGAACCUUUUUGUGUAGAAAAUACUGAUGAUUGUGUGUGUGUGAAUGAGGCAAUGCUUUCCUUUUAUAGAGUGUUCAAAGAUGGCACCAAAAGGGGCAUAUUAUAAACUAAAUUCUGAAUUUUCAGGAUAGUACAAUAUUUUUGACAGCUGUAUGUCCUUUUUCCCACCCAAUUUCAGCAUUUUUUGCUAAAAAUGGGGGCAGUUGUCCAAAGACCUAGAACCUUCUGAUAUUUAACCUAUGUAAAAACUAAUUUUAACCCUCCAUUACUAUUUAUUUCAAUUAUAUCCUAAGUCCUGAUCCUGAUUUGAUUUCAAAGACCCUUUUAGGACCUUUUAGAACCAAAUAGGUGAUUCUAUAUUAGGGUUCCUAGACUUGUUCCAAUUGUCUCUUUAAUUCUGAAAUGAGUUUUAGGCUUAAGGAUAUCUAAGGCUUAAUUCAAACAAUUUAAACCUAACUUAGUAAAUUAACAAAUUUACCUAAUUAACCUUAAAUAAAACUGAAUUUAAACAACCAACACAUCCAAACAGUAGACAAACAAGAACUAGAAUGAAGAUGCAAAGAAACCCAAGAAAUUGACCUAAUUAAUUUAUAAAUCAAAACAAAAAUAAUCAACUAAAUUACCAUUUGAAAAUCUGACUGAAACUAAGCUAAUCACUGCAUCUAAAACAAAGAAUACCAAAGAGGAACAAUUAUAAGAAUGGAAACAAAAAAUGGAAUAGUCAUGCAAUUAUAACAAUAAACUAAAAACUAACCCUAAUCAGCCUAAAUUUUAUGCCCUCGAAACCAACCUUUAGAUAAUUGUAAGAUUCAACAUGCUUCAUAAACAAAUGAAACAAAUAGACAGUGCCAAGCAAGAGGACAAGAACUAAAACUGUGAUUACCUAAGUCAUACAGGCUAAAAGAAGAAAGAAGAUAAAAAUAAAAAGAAGAUGGAACAGAAUUUUACUUAAGGCUCGUUUUGGAGGGGGCCAGUCACGAACUCGACCAAUUUUUACUGGGUAAAAAUGAACUUUAGACAACCAUCAUUCGAUUGAUCUUAUCAAAAGCAGUCGAUUAGUGGAAGUCUUGGGUUCAAAUGACCCAGAAACUGCCUGAAAUUGGAAGUGGAAAAGUUAGGGUUUUGGGUCUUAGAUUCGAGAAGUUCUAAGUUGUUUGAAAGGAAUGUUUGGGAUAUAUGGAAAGAGGAGGAUAAGUUGAUUAUAUGGUGUUAAUUUUAGGUGGUUUGGAGGUGGUCCGCCGCCGUGAGGCGAUUUUUGGUCGGCGGACCACGACGGAGACGGCGAAGUAUAUAAGGGCAGCUAGGGUUUCGUAUCUCUGAGGUUGAGAGAUGGAAGUGAGAAGGGGUUU
rnacentral:lncRNA from 1 species